UGAUAGCAUACAUGGCCUUAGCUGGUUCCUUAUGCACAAUCCGACAUGAGAGCCUUUUUAUAACACAGAUGAAGAUGGAAAAGAUACACAAAGUCAGAUGUUUUGUGCUUUUCUUUGGUAUACAAUUUGGAUGCUUGGUUUGGUGUUAAAACUAGAGUGUGCAUGUCUUCAAGAUCCCUUUCUCCAUAGUUGAAGUCUCCUUGAACUAGCAGGACUUUGGCUCCAAUAUAUCUGUUACAGUAAUGACACUUGGGUUCCUAAGUUUCAGGUCCCAGUGAUAUCUCACUGGAGAGGAAAACUAGAAAGAAAGCAGUCCAGCCUGAUGAAUGCACUUGUAGCUAAUGAACACAUCCAGAGAUAUGUCCUGCAAAAAUAGGUACUCUGCUGGCUUUACUUGCACAGUAAAAAGACUGCAGCACAGGCAGUGACUAAGAGGAAGUCAUAACAUUGGCACAGCCACUUCUGGUGAUACAACUGCCUGUGUUAUUAGUACACUACAAAAGAGGUGGUGGUGGUGGUGAGUUUGCUGUGGGCUUUGUUUGUUGUUCUCUUCGAUAUUCCAUAAACUGAACUAUCCCUGUUGUACUGUGCUGUUAUGAUGCUGCUGUUGUCAUCUGUAGUAGCUUUCUGGAUGCCAGUGUCCUGUCUUGGGUGGGUAGGGGCCUGGGAUCACUGCAGUUUGCAGGAAAUGUUUGGGUAUUCCCAAGGUCUGGAUUAGUUCUAGAGCUAGACCAAGGUGGGACACAGCUUUAGAGGGAAGAAGGAAGGCCUGUAAAUAGAGUUGAGCAAUGGCUGUGCCUGAUGUCAUAGCCUUUAUUUGGGGAUUUUUGUUGUUUGGGUUUGGUUUUUUUUCUGUGCUUUCCCGCAAAGCGCUGAGAGAGGAAGAUGAUGAAGGCUGAGUGAAAAUGGGCAGCCAGGGAGAGGGGCUGCUUAGGCACUAUGGAGCCUCUCCAGACAAUCUGUAGCUGCCUAAGUUUUCUUGAAUGAAGCAAAGACAUUCUCCAUGUCCUCAUCCCUCCUAACUUCCUAUGACAGGAAAAUACAUCCUGUCUGCUUUCCCUGCAUGGCUUGGCCCACAUUCCCUCCACAUGUGACAUAUCAAGGGCGUUAUGCAAGCCUUAUGACUUCAGCAUAUUUAUUAGACCUUAGCUUUUCCCAGACAGGCAGAAAUGAUGUCAAACAACAGAGCUAAGACAACAUUUUAGUUUGAAGCAUGAGAACAUGGCCACCAAUUGGUACCCUAAUAGAAAUGAUGUUUCCCAAGCUUAGCUCUCUUCAUGGCCAGGUAGGCUGGAUUCACUGUUAUGUUUAAACCUAUGACUAAUUCCUUCUCUCUUUCUCCAGGUAGAGUAAUUCCUGAAGCUGGGUCCAGGAACAAAGCCUGCAGCUGUAAUAUGUUUGGUUACCUGAUUUUAAUGAUCAUGCCAACUUUUGUCAGGGGUAAACAGAGGACAUGGCACAGCAACACCCAAGCGGUGCUCUGGGAGUAGGCUUGCUUCCAGAUGGACCUGUAACCUGCAGGGCUCGGCAGCUCAGGUGUCAAGCUUCACGCAAGCGGCUUAUACUAGCUGGAGUGGGAGCAGCAGCGUUGUUGUGAUGCUACAGCAUAACUCUUCAGCUUCAGCACUGCUAAUUGUGGUGGAGCCAGGGCAGGAGCAUUCGCAGGCAGACUUAUCCUCAGUCUGAAUAAGUGGCCCAAGAAUGACAGAGCAGACAGGCUCUGUCAUCUUCCAUACAAGAAAGUAUGCACUUCCAUGACUGAAACCAGCAUGUAACAGCUGUAUGUGCUGGGUGUCAGGGUCUUGAGGGCCCUGCCCACCCAAUGGGGCUCCCCCCCCCCCCUUACAGUCCAGGACCCUAU